AAUUGGGAAAAUGUCGGUACUUGAAGGGAAAGUAACUGUGUGAGGUUGUGAGUUGGAUUAAAAAUUGCCAGGUGGGGCCGUGAUGCCACCAAGUUGAGAAAAAUUGCCAGGUGGGGCCGUGAUGCCACCAAGUUGAGAAAAUUGCCAGGUGGGGCCGUGAUGCCACCAAGUUGAGAAAAUUGCCAGGUGGGGCCGUGAUGCCACCAAGUUUAGAAAAUUUGCCGAGUGGGGCCGUGAUUCCACUAAAAAUAAAUUAUGCCUAUAGGGUCGUGAUUCAGAGUCAAGAAUGAAGAGACGGGAUGACCAUGUAAUGGUUUUGAUGACAUGUAAUCGACUGAGUCGAUUGAUCGUUAAGUCGAUCUGAUUGGUUGGAUGCUAUGAUUGUCAGUAUUUAUUAUUUGAACUGACUUGCAGGAAGGAAACUGAGGCCAAGGUAAGCCCUCUGACCCAUGAUGUGCUUAGGCAGCCCUCAAGGCGUAUUUUCUUACUAAUCGAGUCUUAGGGGGUAGGACUCGCUGAGACGUGGUCUCAUUGGUUAUUGAAUAACCAUUUCAGGACCCUAAGGAGAAGCUGAGGAGGAGAAACCCGAAGAGAAGAAAGACUUUUAAAGAAGUUGAUGACCCAAGGAGGGAUUUUGAGUAUAACCGGAUGUGGAUUGAGAUCCCAUCCCUUUUGUGAACCCUGUCUUGGCAUAGAUAGGUGUGAG
rnacentral:lncRNA from 1 species